CUUUUGGUAUAUGACCAGAAGGGGGAUCUCUGAGUCAAAGGGUUAUUAUUCUUUUUUAAUCUAUUUUUAAAAAAAAUUUGCAAAAUAGCAAAGUAACAAUGGACAAAUAGUAGGGCCAAAGGGUUGUGCUUAGCCCCCACAGGUAAAUGAGUACAGCUCCUUUCAGGUUCCCAAGGGGAUUAUACCAUAAUACUAUGACCGAACUCAGGUACCUAGGAAGAGAUAACCAUGUCAAUAAGAAUAGCCCACAAAGUCAUCGGUCAAAGCUAGAUUUCAGCAUUAGUGUGGAAGCCUGAAACCCUUCCCCGUGGAGUUUGACCUCCUGGGUUCCUGGCUCCUGAAUAGAGGCUAGAGGUCGAGUAGCUCUCAGUCAGGAGACCACGUUUCCCAACAUCAGAUGAUCCACACUCUGGCUCUGUCUGCCCUUGAUGGCUUAAGGCCAUCUAAGGCCACCCUGGACACGAGACUCAAUUGCCUUCCCCCAAGGGCUACUCCCUGGACACUUCCGAAUCAGCGUAAUCACAGUCCUGCCUUCUCAGUGUUGUCUUGAGGCGAAUAUGAGAACAGGGCCAGGAUAAAAGGAUGAAGAGGGACGACAGCAUCUCACAGAGACAGACACAGCGUCAAUGACAACAUUUAUUCCUUCCACCCUUCAGUAAAAAGGUACAAAAGUGGGGCUAGGCGGUGGUGGGGGUGGAUAUCAGGAAGGCACCUUAGGGGGUCCCCAACCCAAUCAGGUCCUUUUGCUGAGCUCCUGGGGGCUGAGCUGCCUUGAGGAUGAGAGCCAACCACACCCAGGCCUGGAGGAGAGACUGAAUGCAUGCUGUAGACAGAGGGAAGGGGCAUCAGCCCAAACACUGAGGAGAGUCUGGCAGGUGAGGUUCAGGUCUGAGCUGAGCCAGCCUCAUUCCUUGGCUUCCUUUUCUUGCUAUCUGAUGGCUCUCAGCCCAGAGAACCCAUCAACGCUUGUGCUUGUUUGAGUUCUGAAAGACACAGAGAUACGGAUUGGGAGAAAGGGAAGGAGCUGGGAAGAAGAGAAGGGAUGCUGGGCACCAGAGGACAGAGCAAUGGGAGGAGGUUGAAAAGAGGCAAAUUGUAUAUAUGGCUGAUAUAAACUGUACCAAUUAGAGCUACUCAAAAGGAGAAUGAGCUAGCUCAGGAGGCAGUAAGUCCCCCUUCACUGAAGGUCUAAAGCAAAGGGUGGAUGGCUACUUGAUGGGUAUCCUGUGGAGGGAAUCCGCAUAGUACAAUGAAAAAAGCUCCGGCUCUUCAAGUCCCAUCUCUGAUGCUUACUACCUGUGAGACUUCCAGCAAAUCAUUCAACCUUCCUGGGUCUCAGUUUUUUCACCUAUAAAAUGAGGAGGCCGUGUGAGAUGGUCUCCGAGGGCUCUUCUGGAUCCCAUGAGUUCUUGUUCAGGUAUGGAUGGGACUAGACAAUCUUUGGAACCCUAUGAUUUCCCAAGUGUCUCCCAUCUCCUUCCCCCUUACCUGCCAACAGAACUUGGAACUUCUUCACCGACAGUGUCAUGGCGAUGGGCUCUGCUGGACCAACUGCGUCACGCCGAAUAUCCAGCCUCAGGUGCACCUCUGGCUCAUGAACGUGGCAGAGCUGGCUGGAACUCACUGUGUAGUCCACGCGCCAGCCAACACCAUCCAGUCUGCUCACUGUGGGGAAGGAGGCAGAGCUUCAAGACCCCAUUUGUCACCAAGAACCACCAGGAUUCCCCACAGCUGCCAAUAAUUCACUAAGACUUGAAAAAGUCACUUAAGUUAUCUGGACAAAUGGGGACAAAAAUUCAUUAAACAACCCAUUAUUAAGCACCUACUAUAUACAAGGUACUAUACUAGGAUCUGGGAAUACAAAGACAAAAAUGAAAGUCUCUGUCCUCAGGAAGUAUACAUUCCACUGGAUACUAGUUCCUGUCUGCUAACCCUGCAGGGCAGCUAUGAGGAUUAAAUGAAGUUCUGGGUCUGAAAGA